GAGCAUGUAGUGCAACGGUUCAGCACACGCUCCCGAUAUGAGUGAGAUCUGGUUUCGAAUCCCAGCUGGCGCG